rnacentral:rRNA from 1 species
CGUAGGGUGCGAGCGUUAAUCGGAAUUACUGGGCGUAAAGCGUGCGCAGGCGGUUUUGUAAGACAGAUGUGAAAUCCCCGGGCUCAACCUGGGACCUGCAUUUGUGACUGCAAGGCUAGAGUACGGUAGAGGGGGAUGGAAUUCCGCGUGUAGCAGUGAAAUACGUAGAUAUGCGGAGGAACACCGAUGGCGAAGGCAAUCCCCUGGACCUGUACUGACGCUCAUGCACGAAAGCGUGGGGAGCAAACAGGAUUAGAUACCCUGGUAGUCCACGCCCUAAACGAUGUCAACUGGUUGUUGGGUCUUUACUGACUCAGUAACGAAGCUAACGCGUGAAGUUGACCGCCUGGGGAGUACGGCCGCAAGGUUG